rnacentral:rRNA from 1 species
AGUGAACGCUAGCGGCAGGCCUAACACAUGCAAGUCGAGCGGCAGCGGGUCCUUCGGGAUGCCGGCGAGCGGCGGACGGGUGAGGAACACAUCGGAAUCUGCCCUGUUGUGGGGGAUAACGUAGGGAAACUUACGCUAAUACCGCAUAUGACCCUAUUUCGAGAGGGGUGGGGUGAAAGCGGGGGAUCGCAAGACCUCGCGCGACGGGAUGAGCCGAUGUCGGAUUAGCUAGUUGGUGGGGUAAUGGCCCACCAAGGCGACGAUCCGUAGCGGGUCUGAGGGGAUGAUCCGCCACACUGGGACUGAGACACGGCCCAGACUCCUACGGGAGGCAGCAGUGGGGAAUAUUGGACAAUGGGGGCAACCCUGAUCCAGCCAUGCCGCGUGGGUGAAGAAGGCCUUCGGGUUGUAAAGCCCUUUUGUCCGGGAAGAACACGUUCAGGCUAAUACCCUGAACGGCUGACGGUACCGGAAGAAUAAGCACCGGCUAACUUCGUGCCAGCCGCCGCCGUAACAC